UACGGGGGGGGCAAGCGUUGUUCGGAAUUACUGGGCGUAAAGGGCUCGUAGGCGGCCAACUAAGUCAUACGUGAAAUCCCUCAGCUUAACUGGGGAACUGCGUGUGAUACUGGAUGGCUUGGAUUUGGGAGAGGGAUGCGGAAUUCCAGGUGUAGCGGUGAAAUGCGUAGAUAUCUGGAGGAACACCGGUGGCGAAGGCGGCAUCCUGGACCGAUUCUGACGCUCAGGAGCGAAAGCGUGGGUAGCGAUCCGG
rnacentral:rRNA from 1 species